rnacentral:lncRNA from 1 species
UCUUUUCUUAUUUUUUUAAUGCCAAACCUUGAAACAUCACAGCUAUAUAAAUGCUUAUUCAACCCCCACACAACUCCAACAAGCUCUUUUAACCCUUUAAAUAAGAAGAUAAAAUUUUUUCACUUUAUGACUUGUAAUGAUUUUAAAUAAAGAAUGAUAUAAAUAGACUCAAUGGAUUUUCAAACAAGGGAUGAUAUCAUUCAUAGUUGCCUUUUUGGCUAAGUGGCUAAAAGUAAAACAAAAACAAGUUGUUUUUAUCAUAUCAGUGUGCACGAGAAAUCAACAGUUUUAAAAAGAGUCAAUUCAAGUUUUAGAGACUAACAGACAUGAAUGAAAUCACAAAAGAAAGAAAGAGAUGGAUUUUUUUAUUGUUAUCCAUCAAAAGGCUCAAAAUAUCACAAGGUUAUUGAUCUACCACAAUUGAUGCACAAUUAAGCAUUUAGUCUUACUUAUCAUACUAAGAACAUAAAAAAAAUCAAUCACUUCACACCAUAAUUCUUUAAUCAAUAGAACAGAGAAAAUACUCAUAAUUGUAACUCAAAAACCAAAGAAAAAGCAUGCAUUUAACUUCACACCAUAAUUCUUUAAUCAAUAGAACAGAGAAAAUACUCAUAAUUGUAACUCAAAAACCAAAGAAAAAGCAUGCAUUUAUUUUAUUUUUUUUAUGUAAGAAAACAAACAAAAACAAAGAAAUUGAAUAAAACAAAGUAAAUGGCUCCUCAGAAGACAAAGUUCCCAGAAGACAAAGUGGAAGCAAAAUUCGAUUUCUAAGCUUGAAUAAUAUAGCGUUAGUGAGCAUCUAAUUGUGACAGUCAAAGCAGAUAAAAGGAUAGUUUACCAGGGAGUACAUCAUAAGCAAUAAGAUCCUCAUAAGAUAAAAUUCACUCAACUCUCGAAUAUUUAGGUUGAUUGUUUACACUCAAAGCACAAUAUGUAAAUUAACAUGCACAAAAAGAUCAAAAUGACUUUUAUUUGGUUGUAACUUGGUCAGGGUACGGGUGAGAUAAAUCAUAAGGGGUACUAGGCUAAAAUUCAAAGGGUCAAAAGAAAAUUGAAAAUAGACGCGGGAGUUGAACUAAAUAUAUUCCAUUCACUUUCAAACAACACUUUUCCAUUUUCUCUUUUCUCUUUUCUCUUUUUCUUUUUAUUUACUUUUUUUUCUUUCAGAAGGAAUACAAUAAGGACGAGAGUUUUCUUCCUUCUUUCUUUUCUUAUUUUUUUAAUGCNGUGAUUAUAAAAUCAACUAAAACGAGUUAAUUUACUUCUUGAAUUUCCAAAUUAUCACCGCGUAAUUAAAAAUUUCAAAACCUCUAAGCGAAUUCUAAUCCCCUUUCAAUUACAAAUCAAUUAACAAUGCCGAAAUUGACACUAUGAAUUUACACUUCUAUUAUUGAAUGAAGCAAACAGAUUCAAACACGCACGAAUUAAGCAAAUGUGAAUUCAACAUACACAAUUUUUGACGGUUUUUUAAAGCAAUAUUUAAAACCGAUACAAAUCAAGCGAACAUUAAACUAAUCGGAAUAAAUUCAAUAUGAAUAUAUAUAAUUUCGAAUUUAAGCAUAUAAAAUAUAUAGAAGAAUAUUGAAAGGAAAAGAGGAAUUUGCCGAUUGAAAAUAUAAAACCUCAAAGUAUUGGAGGGGGGAUGGAAACAUGAAUCAAUAGGUCAAUGCCUUGGUGAUUAGUUCUCCAUGCAAGUAUCGUGAAAAUUCAUAAUAAUACUAAUUAGGCAGAUAAUUUUAUCCAGUAUAACAAAAGCGUAUAAUUCGGAACCUUAUGGAAAACCGACCCAAAAAAAUUACAAAAAAAGGCUCAAACUAACUAUUUUAAUUAAAGUUUGGAACUUCAAUGAAUUAUUCGACUUUCCUUCACUCUUGAAUCAUCUUUUACUUCAACAAGAAACUUGUAGCAAUUUUCUGUUAACUUUCCAACACAUACCAGAAACGUGUCAAUCUAAAUUCUGAAGCUUCAAGUUAUGAUAAGCAUAGUUGAAAAGGGUACCAAAAUAAUUAUUAACUGAAAAUAAAGUAAAAAAAAAUAAAAUUAAAGUCAGAAAUAAAACUUAAAUAUAAAAAACACGCUAAAAUAAUUAAAAACAAAUAGAGUAAAUAUAGAUUGCCUAAGUGUAAUACUAGAAAAGUGCAUCAAAAUGCCCACUGCAUCAAAAUUUCCCCCACACUUUGAACUUUUGCACUCCGAGCAAAUUAUAAAGUCAAAACAGAGUUAUGCAAUUCCAAAAGUUCUCAGUAAGACAAAGUUGGAGGGGGGGACAGCAAAAAAAUUCUAUUUCUAAGCUUCAAUAAUAAUAGCGUAUAGGAGCAACUAAUUUGUGACAGUCACAAAACCAAUAAAGAUAGUUUACCAGGCGAGUACUUCAAAGCAAAUAAGAAUCCUCAUAAGAUAAAAAAUGUCACUCAAUCUGCGAGUAUUUAGGUUGAUUGUUUACCACUCACAGCCACAAACAUGAAAAAUUAACAUGACACAAAAAGAUCAAAUACGUUUAUUGUUGUAAACUUGCUCAGGGUACGGUGAGAUAAAUCCUAAGUCGGGUUACAGGCUAAAAUUCAAUAGCGUAAAAAGAAAAUUGAAAAAUAGCACGCGGAGUCUGAACUAAAUAUAUUCCAAUUCACUUUCAAACAACACGUUUUCCAUUUUAUCUUUGCUUCUUUUCUCUUUUUCUUUCUUAUUUACUUUUUUUUCUUUCAGAAGAGAUACAGAUAAGACGAGAGUUUUCUUCCUUCUUUCUUUCUUAUUUUUUAAUGCCAAACCUUGAAACAUUCACAGCUAUAUAAAUGAUUAUUCAAACCCCCACACAACUCCAACAAGCUCUUUUAACCUUUAAAUAAGAGAGAAAUUUUUGUUCAUCUUUAUGACUUAAAUGAGUUUAAAUAAAGAAUGAUAUAAAUAGACUCAAUGGGAUUUACAAAAAGGGAUGAUAUCAUUCAUAGUUGCCUUUUUGGCUAAGUGGCUAAAAGUAAAACAAAAAACAAGUUGUCUUUAUCAUAUCAGUGUGCACAAGUAAUCAACAGUUUUAAAAAGAGUCAAUUCAAGUUUUAAGGACUAACAGACAUGAAUGAAUCACACAAGAAAGAAUGAGAUGGAUUUUUUUAUUGUUAUCCAUCAAAAGGCUCAAAAUAUCACAAGUUAUUGAUCUACCAAAAUUGAUGCACAAUUAAGCAUUUUUUAGUCUUACUUAUCAUACUAAGAACAUAAAAAAAUCAAUCACUUCACACCAUAAUUCUUUAAUCAAUAGACAGAGAAAAUACUCAUAAUUGUAACUCAAAAACCAAAGAAAAAGCAUGCAUUUAUUUUAUUUUUUUAUGCUAAGAAAAACAAACAAAAACAAGAACUGAAUAAAACAAAGUAAAUGGCUCCUCAGAAGACAAAGUGGAAGCAAAAUUCUAUUUCUAAGUUGAAUAUAUUAGCGUUAGUGAGCAACUAAUUGUGACAGUCAAAGCAGAUAAAAGGAUAGUUUACCAGGAGUACAUCAUAAGCAAUAAGAUCCUCAUAGAUAAAAUUCACUCAACUCUCGAGUAUUUAGGUUGAUUGUUUACACUCACAGCACAACAUGAAAAUUAACAUGCACUAAAAGAUCAAAAUGACUUUUAUUUGGUUGUAACUUGGUCAGGGUACGGGUGAGAUAAAUCCUAAGCGGGUACUAGGCUAAAAUUCAAAGGGUCAAAAAGAAAAUGAAAAUAGACGCGGAGUUGAACAAAAUAUAUUCCAUCACUUUCAAACAACACUUUCCAUUUUCUCUUUUCCUCUUUCUCUCUUUUUCUUUAUUUACUUUUUUUCUUCAGAAGGAAUACAAUAAGGACGAGAGUUUCUUCCUUCUUUCUUUUCUUAUUUUUUAAUGCCAAACCUUGAAACAUCACAGCUAUUAUAAUGCUUAUUCAACCCCCACACAACUCCAACAACAAGCUCUUUAACCCUUUAAUAAGGAGAUAAAUUUUUUUCCACUUUAUGACUUGUAAUGAGUUUAAAUAAAGAAUGAUAUAAUAGACUCAUGAUUUUAAAAAAAAGGAUUUGAUAUCAUUCAUAGUUGCCUUUUUGGCUAAGUGGCUAAAAGUAAAACAAAAACAAGUUGUCUUUAUCAUAUCAGUGUGCACAAGUAAUCAACAGUUUUAAAAAGAGUCAAUUCAAGUUUAAGAACUAACAGACAUGAAUGAAAUCACACCAGAAAAGAAUGAGAUGGAUUUUUUUAUUGUUAUCCAUCAAAGGCUCAAAAUAUCACAAGGUUAUUGAUCUACCACAAUUGAUGCACAAUUAAGCAUUUAGUCUUACUUAUCAUACUAAGACAUAAAAAAAUCAAUCACUUCACACCAAAUUCUUUUAAUCAAUAGAACAGAGAAAAUACUCAUUAAUUGUAACUCAAAAACCAAAGAAAAAGCAUGCAUUUAUUUUAUUUUUUUUUAUGUAAGAAAACAAACAAAAACAAAGAAACUGAAUAAAACAAAGUAAAUGGCUCCUCAGAAGACAAAGUGGAAGCAAAAUUCUAUUUCUAAGCUGAAUAAUAUAGCGUUAGUGAGCAACUAAUUGUGACAGGCAAAGCAGAUAAAAGGAUAGUUUACCAGGAGUACAUCAUAAGCAAUAAGAUCCUCAUAAGAUAAAAUUCACUCAACUCUCGAGUAUUUAGGUUGAUUGUUUACACUCACAGCACAACAUGAAAAUUAACAUGCACAAAGAUCAAAAUGACUUUUAUUUGGUUGUACUUUGGUCAGGGUACGGGUGAGAUAAAUCCUAAGGGUACUAGGCUAAAUUCAAAGGGUCAAAGAAAAUUAAAAGACGCGGGAGUUGAACUAAACAUAUUCCAUUCACUUUCAAACAACACUUUUCCAUUUUCUCUUUUCUCUUUCUCUUUUUCUUUUAUUUACUUUUUUUUCUUCAGAAGGAAUACAAUAAGGACGAGAGUUUUCUUCCUUCUUUCUUUUCUUAUUUUUUUAAUGCCAAACCUUGAAACAUCACAGCUAUAUAAAUGCUUAUUCAACCCCCACACAACUCCAACAAGCUCUUUUAACCUUUAAAUAAGAGAUAAAUUUUUUUCACUUUAUGACUUGUAAUGAGUUUUAAAUAAAGAAUGAUAUAAUAGACUCAAUGCAUUUUCAAACAAGGGAUGAUAUCAUUCAUAGUUGCCUUUUUGGCUAAGUGGCUAAAAGUAAAACAAAAACAAGUUGUUUUUUAUCAUAUCAGUGUGCACGAGAAAUCAACAGUUUUAAAAAAGAGUCAAUUCAAGUUUUAGAGACUAACAGACAUGAAUGAAAUCACAAAAGAAGAAAGAGAUGGAUUUUUUAUUGUUAUCCAUCACAAAGGCUCAAAUAUCACAAGGUUAUUGAUCUACCACAAUUGAUGCACAAUUAAGCAUUUUAGUCUACUUAUCAUACUAAGAAACAUAAAAAAAAAAUCAAUCACUUCACACCAUAAUUCUUUAAUCAAUAGAAACAGAGAAAAUACUCAUAAUUGUAACUCAAAAACCAAAGAAAAAAGCAUGCAUUUAUUUUAUUUUUUUUAUGUAAGAAAACAAACAAAAACAAAGAAAUGAAUAAAACAAAGUAAAUGGCUCCUCAGAAGACAAAGCUUCCCAGAAGACAAAGUGGAAGCAAAUUCAUUUCUAAGCUUAUAAUAUAGCGUUAGGAGCAUCUAAUUGUGACAGUCAAAGCAGAUAAAAGGAUAGUUUACCAGGAGUACAUCAUAAGCAAUAAGAUCCUCAUAAGAUAAAAAUCACUCAACUCUCGAAUAUUAGGUUGAUUGUUUACACUCAAAGCACAAAUGGAAAUUAAACAUGCACAAAAGAUCAAAAUGACUUUUAUUUGCGUUGUAACUUGGUCAGGGUAGCGGUGAGAUAAAUCAUAAGGCCGGUACUAGGCUAAAAUUCAAAGGGUCAAAAGAAAAUUGAAAAUAGACGCGGGAGUUGAACUAAAUAUAUUCCAUUCACUUUCAAACAACACUUUUCAUUUCUUCUUCUCUUUUCUCUUUUCUUUUUUAUUUACUUUUUUUUCUUUCAGAAGGAAUACAAUAAGGACGAGAGUUUUCUUCCUUCUUUCUUUUUCUUUAUUUUUUAAUGCCAAACCUUGAAACAUCACAGCUAUAUAAAUGCUUAUUCAACCCCCACACAACUCCAACAAGCUCUUUUAACCCUUUAAAUAAGGAGAUAAUUUUUUUUCACUUUAUGACUUGUAAGAGUUUAAAUAAAGAAUGAUAUAAAUAGACUCAAUGGAUUUUCAAACAAGGGAUGAUAUCAUUCAUAGUUGCCUUUUUGGGCUAAGUGGCUAAAAGUAAAACAAAAACAAGUUGUCUUUAUCAUAUCAGUGUGCACAAG